rnacentral:rRNA from 1 species
CCUACGGGAGGCAGCAGUGAGGAAUAUUGGUCAAUGGACGCAAGUCUGAACCAGCCAUGCCGCGUGCAGGAAGACGGCUCUAUGAGUUGUAAACUGCUUUUGUACGAGGGUAAACGCAGAUACGCGUAUCUGUCUGAAAGUAUCGUACGAAUAAGGAUCGGCUAACUCCGUGCCAGCAGCCGCGGUAAUAAGGAGGAUUCAAGCGUUAUCCGGAUUUAGUGGGUUUAAAGGGUGCGUAGGCGGUCGGAUAAGUUAGAGGUGAAAUCCCGAGGCUCAACUUCGGAAUUGCCUCUGAUACUGUUCGGCUAGAGAGUAGUUGCGGUAGGCGGAAUGUAUGGUGUAGCGGUGAAAUGCUUAGAGAUCAUACAGAACACCGAUUGCGAAGGCAGCUUACCAAGCUACUUCUGACGUUGAGGCACGAAAGCGUGGGGAGCAAACAGGAUUAGAUACCCCGGUAGUC